GACCUCUUGGUCAAGCGGUUAAGACACCGCCCUUUCACGGCGGUAACACGGGUUCGAGUCCCGUAGAGGUCGCCA
rnacentral:tRNA from 9 species